UGCUCUGGUGGCCUAGUUGUUAGAGCAUCUGCCUUGGAUGCAAGAGGUUGUGAGUUCGAUCCCCAGUCGAGUUA